rnacentral:lncRNA from 1 species
GAAUAGACGGGCUUGGUCCGCAAUGUAAGUUUGCUACGAUUUAUAGUGGAUUAUUGACCGGCAAAGUGUUCGGAGUUUUUACCAAGUUGGGGUUUCUUCGUCAUCAUCUUUGGUUUUCUUUAUUGUUUUAAUUAUUGAUCGUGGCAUUCAAACCAUGAGACAAUUGAACUUGAUUGGCCAAUGACCCAGAACCAAUUAAAAGUGACUUGUUGCUUUUAAUUAUGUAUUUCCGGUCAUUGGAUUUAAAUAAAUCGGUUAAUUAGAACUUUC